CUUGGGGAUGUUUUUCUAAGGGAGUUUACAUCAUCUGUAGUACCAGUUACUGUAAGUGGAACCUUUCUCUUCAUGGCUUGGGGAAGCAUUUUGUUGCUGUGGUAAAUGAACUGGAGGAGCAUUCUGUUUCUGCUUGCUUCAUAGGGGGUUAGCCUACACACUGGCUAGCUCUUGUGUUUGCCAAGAACUGGACAAGUUCUGUUCUCAGCUGAUGAUUGCCACACUGUCGGGUACCCGGUCUCAGGAGGAUUCCUUAGCUUACAUUUUUUCUUGUGUGAAGCUGUACUAAGACUGUCUUUCUCUGCACAAAAGAAUGAAAAAUGUUAAUUAUUUCAAUUUAGCAAUGUUUUCCUUUCUGCAAGCUUGGGAAGUGAUAGAAGUGAUAAACAAUGUAGUGUGGUGGUUUUUGUUUGUUUUGAAGCACUUGUUAAGGGAAUAAAGACAAGAGCCUUAAUUCUGAAAUUAUAUACUGUGGAGUGCUGCUUUCCUUUCUUGAUGAUGUUUCUUAAGUACUCUAACAGCUCUAACAGUGAAAAUCUGAGAGCACAAAACCAGUCAUCUCAUCUGAAAUGAUGUAGAAUUUUAUAGAUAAAAUUCUAGCCAUUUUGAACAACCUACGCUUUUGUUAAAAAUAUUAUUUCCCACUAAAAGAGUUUUCCUACUGUGUACUUAUAUACUUACACUUAUAUUACUUUUUUUAAGUUUCUCAUAUUUGUAUCUAGAUACUAAAUGUAUUAACUUAAAAUACUAUUUAAUGAGACAAAUUUUCACUCUGAAUUUUGCGUGCCUGGUAAGGUGAGGAUUGACACGGUGGUAAAUUUGGGUUUUGAGGAGGUGGCUUAAUACUAGACCAAAAACUUUUCACACAUGUAAAUGGUGAACAAACUACUCUAGGUCCAAUUUGUUUUUAAAGCCUGAGAGAAUAACUUUGGCCAAAGAAAGUUCAGAUUGUACUGGGGGCAUUUUCUACUUACAUCAUUUGGUAUUCAGGCAGACCUUAUGUUGAAA